ACUCGAGUGGCGAACGGGUGAGUAACACGUGGGUGAUCUGCCCUGCACUUCGGGAUAAGCUUGGGAAACUGGGUCUAAUACCGGAUAGGAGCCAUCUUUAGUGUGGUGGUUGGAAAGUUUUUCGGUGUAGGAUGAGCUCGCGGCCUAUCAGCUUGUUGGUGGGGUAGUGGCUUACCAAGGCUUUGACGGGUAGCCGGCCUGAGAGGGUGACCGGCCACAUUGGGACUGAGAUACGGCCCAG
rnacentral:rRNA from 1 species